rnacentral:lncRNA from 1 species
AAAAAUUAGGUUAUGCUUCUCGUGUCUUACAUAAGGUACACUUAGAAGGUUUUGGAUGGUCUAAAGGUCAGAAGCCUAUGGUGAGGUACUAAGUCUUAUUUAGAGUGGACUCGAAAAAAGCUUUAGACUUCUAGGUCACCAGAUUGUAUCCAAUCCCGAAAGAAAGGAAAACCGAAUAUCAUGGGUUAGAAACGAAAGGAGACUAGCUCCAUAAGCGACUAACUCAUAAUAUUGGGAACAACCUGAGCGGUUCAUCACACCAAUACAAGAUUUGGCACCAGGCCAGCACCGGUAAGGCAGAUGUCUCUCUUACCUCACACUUAAUCUCUAAUACCCAAGUAUAGGGCGUUUGAGUGUGUAACUCAAGUGCAUUGUGUUUGUGUGUGGGAAAGCGUACAAACAUUUGUUAAAAAUAAAUUCCCCACCCUAAAAGAUAUAAAAAUAGUUAAGACAGAGAGCUCAAUAAAUAAACAAAUAAAGCACAUAACCAAUUAUUAGUCUAAUAAAACAAACAAAUAAAAAAAGAUGGGUAUUUAAGUCCAUGAAAUAGCGGCUCUAGGCUUGACUCUCUUAUGGAUGUCCCUAGUGGAGUCGUCAGCUGUCAAGACCUAAUUUUCAGUUGGAAGACCGACUCUACGACUUAGGGAGAGGCGAACUCGAUUUCUACCUUUCUAAAUUGAUUUGGAGUCGCCACUACAUUUUUUGGGAUUAAAACAAAGAAAACUCUCGCUUAUGCCCAAUUGGAUAAAAAUGGUCUUUGAACUGAGAUUCUAAGUCCGGGGGUCGAUUACGGAUCGAUGAAGGUAUUAGCACCCUGUCCGCCCGUAUUAAAACAUUACCCUCGCUAACAACAUGGACUUUUAUACCCUUAAAAAUUAUUUAAACAUUUAAUUUAAUUAGUGGAACAAAAUAUUUUUAUUUUUUAUAUUUGUGUCUGACAAAAGUUUACCUGGCUCCUAUGUAUCCCUAGAUGCAAUAUGAAAAUCAAGACUAUGUAGUUCUGGUUUGAAAAGUGGUUAAUUUGUUUGGUUUGGUUUGGUUAGGUUUGGUUUGAUUUGAUUCAAUUAAAU